rnacentral:tRNA from 1 species
GGUAAGGUGACUGAGAACUAAGUGAUGGAUUGUAACCCCAUGAACAGAGGUCCAAUUCCUCUUCUUACCA